rnacentral:rRNA from 1 species
UCGNACGAUGAAGGGGUGCUUGCAUCUUGGAUUAGUGGCGAACGGGUGAGUAACACGUGAGUAACCUGCCCUUGACUCUGGGAUAAGCGUUGGAAACGACGUCUAAUACCGGAUAUGACGACCGAGCGCCUGUUCUGGUUGUGGAAAGAUUUUUUGGUCAAGGAUGGACUCGCGGCCUAUCAGGUUGUUGGUGAGGUAAUGGCUCACCAAGCCUACGACGGGUAGCCGGCCUGAGAGGGUGACCGGCCACACUGGGACUGAGACACGGCCCAGACUCCUACGGGAGGCAGCAGUGGGGAAUAUUGCACAAUGGGCGAAAGCCUGAUGCAGCAACGCCGCGUGAGGGAUGACGGCCUUCGGGUUGUAAACCUCUUUUAGUAAGGAAGAAGAACUUCGGUUUGACGGUACUUGCAGAAAAAGCACCGGCUAACUACGUGCCAGCAGCCGCGGUAAUACGUAGGGUGCAAGCGUUGUCCGGAAUUAUUGGGCGUAAAGAGCUCGUAGGCGGUUUGUCGCGUCUGCUGUGAAAUCUGGAGGCUCAACCUCCAGCCUGCAGUGGGUACGGGCAGACUAGAGUGCGGUAGGGGAGAUUGGAAUUCCUGGUGUAGCGGUGGAAUGCGCAGAUAUCAGGAGGAACACCGAUGGCGAAGGCAGAUCUCUGGGCCGUAACUGACGCUGAGGAGCGAAAGCAUGGGGAGCGAACAGGAUUAGAUACCCUGGUAGUCCAUGCCGUAAACGUUGGGAACUAGAUGUAGGGACCAUUCCACGGUUUCUGUGUCGCAGCUAACGCAUUAAGUUCCCCGCCUGGGGAGUACGGCCGCAAGGCUAAAACUCAAAGGAAUUGACGGGGGCCCGCACAAGCGGCGGAGCAUGCGGAUUAAUUCGAUGCAACGCGAAGAACCUUACCAAGGCUUGACAUGAACGAGAACGGGUCAGAAAUGAUCAACUCUUUGGACACUCGUUUACAGGUGGUGCAUGGUUGUCGUCAGCUCGUGUCGUGAGAUGUUGGGUUAAGUCCCGCAACGAGCGCAACCCUCGUUCUAUGUUGCCAGCACGUUAUGGUGGGAACUCAUAGGARACUGCCGGGGUCAAYUCGGAGGAAGGUGGGGAUGACGUCAAUCAUCAUGCCCCUUAUGUCUUGGGCUUCMGCAUGCUACAUGGCCGG